rnacentral:lncRNA from 1 species
AAUAUAUUCACACUCUAAUGUUAACGACACUCAUCUUGUUCUUGAGAACAAAUAGUUGAAUAUCAUUUUCGUAUUAUAACAUUUAAUGAAAAGAGUUUUCUAUCUCUUCUCUCUUUCAUAUCUUUUACAGAGAGGGAGCUCUGUUUUUCUUUUGUAAUCUCCGUCUUCAAUCAGAGCUUUUUGGCUCAAAUUAACUCUUCCAAUUUCGGGAAGAUGAAAAUUCCAGAAGUCAUCAAAUGGAUCCUUGUUCAUUGAGUGCUUGAUUCUUCUCCCAAGUGAAGGUAAUUCCUUGCUCCGCCAAAAGGGCUUGUUUAGAGCAUCGGUUCUCCUUGGUGGAUUGAUCAAGUUGAUGCGGUUGAUUGGGACGGAGUAUGAAGAAUUGGAGUCUUCGUCUUGUUCUGAUGAAUAUUUCGGGCUAAUCGGCUGAGGUUACAAAUUCUCGUGAUCAAGUUUAGGUCCAACCAAUCUCUUCUGGUGAUCUAUGGCAAAAGGCGAGUAGGUACAAUCGAAGGCAGAGAUAGAGGUUUCUUGGAGGACUGAGUUGAUCUGCCGGCUGGUGAAGGAAGUUUCCGGUGAUGAUGAGUCGGUGACAGC